rnacentral:rRNA from 1 species
UACAGAGGGGGCAAGCGUUGUUCGGAAUUACUGGGCGUAAAGGGCGCGUAGGCGGCCUGUUAAGUCGAACGUGAAAUCCCCGGGCUCAACCCGGGAACUGCGUCCGAUACUGGCAGGCUUGAAUUCGGGAGAGGGAUGCGGAAUUCCAGGUGUAGCGGUGAAAUGCGUAGAUAUCGGGAGGAACACCAGUGGCGAAGGCGGUUGCCUGGAGCUUUGCUGACGCUGAUGCGCGAAAGCGUGGGGAGCGAUCCGG